AUAAAUUGAAUAACUCGAAAGAUUAACUGAAAGAAGUAUUUACAAUUGUGGGAGCUUAGUCUUGGUAUUAACACAUGAUAGAUAAAUUAAUAUCAUUGGACCAUCGAUUUUAAACGAUCGAUGACUUUUUUUAUCUAAUGCUCCAAUAAAACACAAACUAAUUGUUAGUCGAACUUCUACUUAAGUCAAAACUUGUGCAAUAACAAAAUAGAAAAGUAAUCUCAAAAAUGGGAUAAUAAUAAUGAUAAUUAUAGUAUUUAGAAAUGAUGAAAUAACAUGAUUGCGUCGUCUAAAUCCAUCAAGCAAGAUUCCAAAAUCCUCGUGACAUUGGCCCAACGAACAUAUUUAGUAUUCGAUUCCCCAACGAGCUUGUCUUUAGGCAACCUGGCGAAUAACGAGAUGAAAAGGCUUAUUUAAAAAAAAAUUCAAAACCAUACUCGAAAAUUGUAUCACGAAAUUUGAUUUUCUACACUUUCUUAAAAUUACCUCUUUCGCUUGAUCUUUC
rnacentral:lncRNA from 1 species